rnacentral:misc_RNA from 1 species
GCCUCUGAGUUCAUAAAUAUGGUUGAAAACAACACCAGUGCUGUGAGCCACAUCUGAGAAGUAAACGUAAACCUUCCCCCCCAAAACACAGGUCUUAGCGUGCUCCACAGUAUUCUCCCACAUCCUAUUGGACAUUCCACUUCCAAGUAUAUUUCUCAAUUUCUGUGGAUCCCGCAUAAGAAGCCGAAGAAAAUCUUCAACUGUUACAAUUUUAGCCUUUACCAGUUUUUUGUGGAGUGCUCCAUCCUUUGCUAUUCUGUCCAAUCUCCAAACUUCAUCAUUUAAUGCAGGUGGAUAGUGCUUCUUGUAUAAUUCUCCUCGGUGAUCUUUAACAGCAAAUGCCUCUGUUUUAGCCUCACGAACACGAACACCUUCACAAGAUCCAGAAGCAACCUUAACACCAAGCCUGAACUUUCUGCUCCUUAUCCA